GACGAACGCUGGCGGCGUGCCUAAUACAUGCAAGUUGAGCGCUGAAGGUUGGUCCUUGUACCAACUGGAUGAGCAGCGAACGGGUGAGUAACGCGUGGGGAAUCUGCCUUUGAGCGGGGGACAACAUUUGGAAACGAAUGCUAAUACCGCAUAAAAACUUUAAACACAAGUUUUAAGUUUGAAAGAUGCAAUUGCAUCACUCAAAGAUGAUCCCGCGUUGUAUUAGCUAGUUGGUGAGGUAAAGGCUCACCAAGGCGAUGAUACAUAGCCGACCUGAGAGGGUGAUCGGCCACAUUGGGACUGAGACACAGCCCAAACUCCUACGGGAGGCAGCAGUAGGGAAUCUUCGGCAAUGGACGAAAGUCUGACCGAGCAACGCCGCGUGAGUGAAGAAGGUUUUCGGAUCGUAAAACUCGGUUGGUAGAGAAGAACGUUGGUGAGAGUGGAAAGCUCAUCAAGUGACGGUAACUACCCAGAAAGGGACGGCUAACUACGUG
rnacentral:rRNA from 1 species